GCCUUUGUGUUGUAGUGGUCAGCAUGCUCGACGCGAUAACCGAGAGGUUCGUGGUUCGAUUCCCGGCGAAGGCG
rnacentral:tRNA from 1 species